rnacentral:rRNA from 1 species
UACGGAGGGGGCUAGCGUUGUUCGGAAUUACUGGGCGUAAAGCGCACGUAGGCGGCUUUGUAAGUUAGAGGUGAAAUCCCGGGGCUCAACCCCGGAACUGCAUUGGAUACUGCCUUGCUUGAGUACUGGAGAGGGAACUGGAAUUUACGGUGUAGCAGUGAAAUGCGUAGAGAUCGUAAGGAAGGCCAGUGGCGAAGGCGAGUUCCUGGACAGUUACUGACGCUGAGGCACGAAGGCCAGGGGAGCAAAACGGGG